rnacentral:lncRNA from 1 species
AAGCGGAAAAAGUCUGUCAAAAGGGGGAGUAGGAGAUUUUCUGUCUGACGCUUUCCUCGGUCAGUUGUAUAUUCCCUUUCUGCAUACUUGAUAAAAGGGGUUGAAAAAUUGUCAAAGCCAGAGCUGGAGUCAGUGUUCAUGCGUGAGACACUCCUCUGUACAUGGGAAGCCAAUGUUGCUGCGUCCGGAAUUGGGUAGGUAUUUGGGCUGGGCUGCACUGGUGGCUCAGC